rnacentral:rRNA from 1 species
UACGUAGGGUGCAAGCGUUGUCCGGAAUUAUUGGGCGUAAAGAGCUCGUAGGCGGUUUGUUGCGUCGGCUGUGAAAACCUGAGGCUCAACCUCAGGCCUGCAGUCGAUACGAGCAGACUAGAGUGUUGCAGGGGAGACUGGAAUUCCUGGUGUAGCGGUGAAAUGCGCAGAUAUCAGGAGGAACACCGGUGGCGAAGGCGGGUCUCUGGGCAACAACUGACGCUGAGGUGCGAAAGCGUGGGGAGCAAACAGG